GAUGAACGCUGGCGGCGUGCUUAACACAUGCAAGUCGAGCGAGAAGUUUUGAAAAGAUUCUUCGGAUGAAAUUUAAAAUGGAAAGCGGCGGACGGGUGAGUAACGCGUAGGCAACCUGCCCCAUACAAAGGGAUAGCAUUUGGAAACGAAUAUUAAUACCUUAUGAAACUUAACUAGUGCAUGCUAGGUAGGUCAAAGAUUUAUCGGUAUGGGAUGGGCCUGCGUCCGAUUAGCUAGUUGGUGAGGUAACGGCUCACCAAGGCGACGAUCAGUAGCCGACCUGAGAGGGUGAACGGCCACAUUGGAACUGAGACACGGUCCAAACUCCUACGGGAGGCAGCAGUGGGGAAUAUUGCACAAUGGGGGAAACCCUGAUGCAGCAACGCCGCGUGAACGAUGAAGGCCUUUGGGUCGUAAAGUUCUGUUCUAGGUGAUGAAAACUGACAGUAACCUAGGAGAAAGCCCCGGCUAACUCCGUG
rnacentral:rRNA from 1 species